rnacentral:rRNA from 1 species
CAGUCGCCGCGGUAAUACGUAGGGUGCAAGCGUUAAUCGGAAUUACUGGGCGUAAAGCGUGCGCAGGCGGUUCGCUAAGACAGAUGUGAAAUCCCCGGGCUUAACCUGGGAACUGCAUUUGUGACUGGCGGGCUAGAGUAUGGCAGAGGGGGGUGGAAUUCCACGUGUAGCAGUGAAAUGCGUAGAGAUGUGGAGGAACACCGAUGGCGAAGGCAGCCCCCUGGGCCAAUACUGACGCUCAUGCACGAAAGCGUGGGGAGCAAACAGGAUUAGAUACCCGCGUAGUCCCUGUCUCUUAUAC